CCCCCAUCUGGAAAACCAACGAAGAGAGAGAAGAGGAGGAGGACUAGCGACACCCACCACCACCGGUGACUCCCACCACCACCGUCUACCACCACCACCAUCGGCUCCACCUCCGGCGACCAACCCUUCGCGAAAAUCGCGACACCACGAGCACCGACGCCACCACCGACGACAAAUCCCAUCGCCAAGACUCAGUUGAGGGACUGAAAGACACAAGUUCACAGCAUGAAGGGGCACUAAAGACAACUGCGCUACAUGGAGAAAGUUCUGACCCCGAGUAGGUCUUUCUACCAAACUAAGUGAAGGUGUAAACCAAGGAGGGAUAACAUACUACAAGUGGUGAAGAACCGAGGCAAUGGUCAAGCAAUUAAGUCCCAAGUUGUGCUCAGCAUCAUGGAGAAUUGAAGAUCCAUUAGAAUGGUCUAUACGCAACUCAAACAAAGAUGCUGAAUCAUUUGGCGGCGAAGAAGAGUAGCAUCCUUUGAUAGCAAAUAAAAUGGAGAUGUAAUUACUAGGUCUAUUUGUCCUACAAUUGAAAUACAGGAAUGUAAUCUAUUUUUGUUUUGCAAAUGAGGUUUAAACCAUUAGAGAGGAGAAUGUACUCUUAUUUAUUUGCACGUGAAUGAUAAUUAGUAUGAGAAUGACCCUACUUAUUUAUUUGGCUUGUGAAUGGUGAUUUAGAAUGGGAAAUGCCCGGCGUGGGCUUGUGUGUAAC